GUAGUUGCACGGCGUAUUCCGACGCACGGAUAUCAGUAGGAGAAGGCUCAGGCUGUGUCAUGUGGACUGGGGACCUUUUGGACAUGAGGCAAUAUGCAGAAGGUGGACAACAUUUCUAUGUGAGAUUGGCCGCUUCUGAACUAGGUACCUUUUGUUAUAAAACAAGAGAGAAAAUGGAGAGAAUUGAGAUAGAGAGAAAACUGAUCUGGGAAAUUGGAGAGAGUCUUUUGCUCUCGCUUCUCUGUAUUAUUUCUCAUACGUUUCUGUCUUCAUAUAUUACAAUAAUUAGAAUGUGGGCUCCACACCCAAUAAUACACUCAAUAAUUUACAACACUCCCCCUUGGAGACCACAAAUGAUAUGGAAUAUGUCUCGUUAAAAACCUUGCCAGUAAAAACCCAGUGGGACAAAAACUGGUCGAAGGGAAAAAGAGUACAUAACCAUGCGUAACAUAAAAUUCUGUGUAUAUGGACAUGUGUGCGAUACUGCCUCAUUAAAACCUUGCCAGGAAAAACCCAGUGGGAUAAAAACCUGGACGAAGGAAAAAGAGUACAGUGUGUAAAGGUCUGUAUUGACAGCACGCUCCCCCUGAUGCUUGGCAAAAUAUCUUGAAGUCAUACUGUUGAUCAUCUUUCUGAAUAUCAUAGUUGACACUGCUUCUGUGAGUCAAUCUUGAGCGACACUGCCUCGUUAAAACCUUACCAGGAAAAACCCAGUGGGAUAAAAACCUGGAUGAAGGAAAAAGAGUACAGUGUGGAGCUGAGCUCUAUCUGGUCUAGUAUACUUCCGGAAAAACAUAUAAGGACCAACGGAUAAGACUCAUAAAAAUGCUUCAAUACUUUCUUAGUAUAAGCAAGAAUCUCGUUGGCAUAAUGCUCGAUCGAGACAAAUAUUUCGUGACUUCUGCAGAAGUUUUAAUGUGUUGCAAACACAUUAUAAUCAAUGUACUCACUGAGGUAAUUUAUGCAUAUUAAUAUUGAGUACAAAUUUUGUGCUUUAAGCACAUGUCCUGUAGGGACUUGCUUUAUGCAACGUCAAUCCUCUCAACGGAUUUUGUUUAAAAGGGAUUAAAUUUUAUGACACAUGAUAUAGCUUUAACCCAGCUAUUUAUACAUCUUUAGGGAAUCACUUCAGGUGAUAUGCUCUGUGCAUUUAAUAACCCUUAAAGAUAACAUGUUGGUCUCCGUAAUUGUGCAGUAAGGGGGGAGGCACAAUUGAAUCUGUAAAUAUGGAAAAAACCCAACAUUCCUUGUUUCUGCCAGAAACAUUGUGUCAUACAAAGUAGGUAUAUUCCCUUUUAUUCCGAACACCCAAGUAUAAAUUUCAAUAUUAACAUCUUUUGGGGUUCGUAUUGUGGGUUUGUGUUUUUUUUUUUUUUCACGUUCAUUCGCAUCUAUAAUGGAAUUACCUCUUUCCAUUUUGGCCAAUGAUAUUGUCGACAUUUAAUAAUUGAACGUGGUUCCAAUCAACACAGCCCAUUGAUGAUUUGAGUAGCUACUCCAAAACCAAAAAUUGUCAUUCAUCAAUUCAUGAUUCCACCAUUCUCAUGUGCAUGCGCAUGCAUCAAUUAUAAGCAUUCCUUUGCUUUUGGGUACCCAAGCCACUUCAUGGGGCUUUUAUUAUGUGAGAAUGUGGAUUAUAACCUCCAUUGGAGCGUUAUUUAGUAGUAGGGCGUGGAUAAUCUCCAUUUAGGGAGUUGGAACAUUUAGAACCCAUAUAUCUGUCAUGCUGCAGGCAUGCCACAGAUUAAUACAUACAUGUCAAUUAAUUUAUGGAGCUUUAACCCAUAUGAUGGGACUUUAACCCAUAUGAUGGGACUUUAACCCAUAUAAUUUGCUACGCAUUCGGCGUGCAUAAUAUCAAUAUUGACAUGUCAAAGGAUUGUCCUUUCGGGACUUCAAUCCACAUCAUUUGCUACGCAACAGGCGUGCAUCAUAUUGAUCACUGCUAUACCCAUAUUCUGUUCUUAUGGGACUUUAAUCUGUGCAGUGUAUUAUCAAUGUAUCCAAUUUACAAUCUGUAAAAUUUUCAUUAAUAAUGCAUGGAUACAUACAAGCCAUUCUUUUGGAACGGACUUAUCUCCCCAUUUGGUUACCUUUCAAGAUAAAAUAUCAAAUAGGUAUAUAAGCAUAAAAUAACAUAAGUAUUGCUUACAUCCUUAGGUGGGAGAAACUUUUCUCAAGCAUCAUUCAAGCUCGUAUUGGCCCAGUAAAUAUAAAGUAUCGCUUGAUGAUCUUGUUAUAUCCUGCAAGAGCAAAAUCACAACUCUUUUCUCUGUCAAAAACAAAUAAUCCUCAGAGAGUUACAGAAAGAGAAAAAAUGCAAAAAUAAUGUGAUAUUGAUUGCAAGAGAAGGUAAGCAAUCAGGGAAGGAAGCUGGUGGGAGCAAAAAAACAAGCUCUCAAUUCUCCUAGUCUAGAAGGACCUCAGGAGAUUAGAGCAUAAGGCCGCAUUCACAAUUCCCUGAUCUUGCAGAAACAUGAUCAGGGAUAGUCUUGCUUCCUGAAUGGAUGAUCAGAGAUAGUCUUGCUUCUCGGGCACAUUAAGUGCUCACUGAUAAGAAAAACAAGUAGAUAUCGCAUUUACUAGAUAUGGAGAUAACUGGAUGUCUUCUGCAAAGAAAAUUUCGUUAGUAAAACAUUUAUACACAAAUACAAUGAAUAGGUAGAACCGGUGAAUUUCAAAUUAACCAUAGUAAAAUUGCGAGAUUCUCGGGAUGCUGUUGAAAAAGUGCGAGAUUCUCGGGAUGCUAUUGAAAAAAUAGCUUCGUGAAAUCCGUAAAGCAAGAUCGGCUUUGAAAAUAAUGCUUGAAAACGCCGAAAGUGCCGACAGGCAUUAUUAGAGGCCACGUGAAGUUUUGGACUCUAGGAAAGAAAAAGAUAAUAUGGGGAUUCGAGAAGAUAUUGGAGUCCUGAAAAACAGUAGCCAUAUUUCCUCCUAUAGAUAUGGCCGUUGCAAAACUUGAUUGGAGCAACUGCGUUUCAACUCAAAUUUUUUUUUCAUUUUCUGAAACUUUAGUUUUCCUAGGACUUUCUCUCUCCCUCAAUUUUCUCUCCAGUUCCUAGGACUUUCUUCGAAACCUUCUCAAAAAUGGCUUCCUCUUCUUCCUGCCCAAAUUAUUUUAAUUUAAAUGAUGCCCCAACAGCAACCAGUGACGCCAAAGUUUGGCGUCCAUCCUUUGUAUCCCAAAAUCGUCAUCUCACAGUUAAUGAUUCUGUGAUGAUGAAUGAUGCUACUGCUGUCAUAGUAGCUAGGAAUUUCAUCACUCCAAUGGAUGAAAUGCUGUUAACAGGGAGGUCUGAGGAAGAGGCUAUUGAUGACUCAAUGGCUUUUAGCAUUCAGAGUGCUGCUUCUGUUUCUAACAUGGCUGAUCGUUUGCGUACUAGAGCAAACGAGGUUGAGAAGCUGACAACUGAAAAUUCGUCUCUUCAAAGAAUGCUUCAUGAGUCUCAACAGGAGGUUGAGAAACUGAAAGGAGAGAAUAAUGCCUUGUUGAAACUGGUGAGUUCGUACUCAGUUGAUACACUGAGAAGGCUAGACAUGCUGCAGGUCUCCAAUGAAAGAAUUUUGGGAGACCACGAGAAGCUCAUGGCUAAGCUUAAGAGGCGCCGUCAUCUUCCUUCAGAGGCUUCCAGAACAUAGUGUAAUUUUAUAGAUUUUACAGGGCCUGCACCUUCAUUGCAGGAAAAAAUCUAUCUGUUGUAUGCCCCUUUUCAGUUAUAAUAAUUGCGCACAUUCUUAAACUUGCACAUGUGGUUUUUACGUCUUUUCAAAAUGACGGUUUGGAACCUUGUGCCUUAUAGGUUCAAAUAACCACAUUGUCUCUCCCAAAUUGCAUAGUAGCCAGGAACUUUUGGCCUGGGCACAAACUCAGAAUUUAUUUGCCCUUUUCAAAUGGACAUGAAAUGUGAAUUAAGUAAAAGCCAUGAUAAUAUCGCAAUAUAGUAGUGAAGAGCAUUAACUACUAUAUACCUACAACUUCAAGUUUAGGAUCUCUCGUAUAUUUGGAUCCAUGGGCUUCCGGCCCAGAUAUAACUAAAUAUGUGGGGAGCCUCAAUUUAUUAUUUGAGGUUAAUAUUAUCCAUUUCGCGGUGUAUUCUUAACAACCGGAAUUCACAAAAUAUAUUUCUUCCUUGAGGUGUCGAUUAUAACAAAAUCGAACUUUAAAUUCAUCAUCUUCUUAUACCAAAUAAAUAUGUGGCGUACCACAAUUUGCAAUAAUACCUCAAGGGUUGUCCAUUUAAUUGUUGGAACUUCAGGUUCUCAACACUGUUAAAUUUUUGAACUUCAGGCCAAAGCCACAUAUUCUCAUGGUAUGGACAUUUUUACAAUAUUCUGUACAUAUUUCGGGACUUCAAGCCCUUACAUAAUUGUCCAUAUUUUGAGGAACUUCUGGCAUCUCAUUUAAUUGCUCAUCCAUGAGUUUAAGGAACUGCAGGUUCCCUUUUGUAUAUAGUGACGGUUUAACCAAAAUGGUUCAUAUUUAUGCAUACGUCACUAUUCAUGUAUACGGCACUAUUCAUGUGUACAGUACAUUUGCCAGUACAGUUAUCAUCCAUGUGUACGGCAUUAUGAACCAAUACGGUACUGUUACAUCAUCAAGGAACCCCAGGUCCUUAUUUACAUGUCAAGGAUCAAGGACCCUCAAGUCCAAUCCGAUCAGGGCUAACAGACCCCACCAUAGAUUAUUCCCUAUAGGAUUAGAAAUAAAUGAACCAGAAAGUGCAAUCCAAUCAAAAUAUCAUAUCAAUACCAAAAGAGAAAUUUCAGGCAUAUGCCUAUAUAUUAUGAUGAAAACAAAAGCCCAAAAGCAAAAAGAAAUAAUAAGUAUUCUUGCUAUAUCAUAUUGCAUCUAACAAAAACAAGCGGGCAAAUUCAUCAUGAAUAUUAUGGUUUGUGUUUUUUUUUUUUUUUUUUUUUUUUUUUUUAUACAUAACAACAUCCUAGCAUUAUUGAUCAUGCGGUAAAUUAUAACUGUAUCUUUCAAACCACAGUUCCACUAGGAAGUGUCAAUCAAUAUUUUAAAAACAUUUAUUUCCUUUAUGAAAUCAGAUUAUUUAACUUGACAAAAUACUCCCGCAAUGCAUGGUUUACAAAUACUGGUGAUUUGAGCAAUCUAAACUGGUCAAGAGUAUUUUAAUAAUGUAAUUAAUUAAAGGAGAUAGGGUACUUAUCCCUUUAUUUCGGUGGGUGUUCACAUGCUUUCCACUAGGCUGAUCAACUUGCUGUAUCCUACAAGGCUCGAUCUCCAGUGCCUUGCAUCAAAUCAACACCGACCUGUUAACAACUUUUAGUGGCUUACCUCCAUUUUAGAAAAAUGUUUCUUCACUGCUUUUUGACUAUACUUCCUCCAUUGAUAUCCAUCAUCAAGGAUAUCAACUUGGCUCCUCGUUUGAAAAGCACCUUUUUUUUUUUUUUUUUUUUUUUUUUUUUUUUGAGAAAAACCGCAUCAGCGACCUCUUGAUGAUCAUGGGCAUCAUGAUCAUCAUGAUCUGCGGCGUCGUCAACCUCCACCCCAGCCAGCAGCGGCUCUGUAGACUCCAACGCAGCUCUCCAGCCGCUCUGAGUCGGAUGAUCUCCUCCUCCUCCAAGAGAAGAGCAACCAGGACCUCCAUUGAGCCAUCCGAAGGUAGAGUAGCCGGACCCCCACAUCUAUGCCCGAGACGACUGCCCGGUCUCCGUCUGCGGCUACCCGGGCUUCAACCUGACCAAACCAGAGCUCAGCCAUGAUCGAGGCGGCCUGGGGUUCGGAGAAGACUCCGAGAGUGACUCGGCGGUAGAGAUCAGGCGCAUCGCAGAGGUCGAGAACCAUGUGGAGGUUGAGAAACUUCGGCAUCGGCACAGACAGCUGCUGCUCCAGCAGUGGUAAGUCCAUCAGUGGCCAAUGGAGCCAUCAUCUGCUGUUGAAUUGUAGUUGCAGAUAAGUUCUUGGCUGGUGUUGCUUAAGAGUCCGCAAAUUCCACCUUGGAUCUCACAGGCACUGCAAGCAGGUUUUGAUACACAGCAGCAACAAAGGAGAGCCUGCAAGGCAGAGACUUAGAAGCUUUUGAGGGAGGCAAAGGUCUUCUGGAUCUGGCGGCCACAGGGGUUGGGAUGAUGAGGUGAGGCUGCUGUUGGCUUUCAAAGAAUCCUCUGUUCAAUCUGAUCCCCAUGGUUUCUUGUCUGAUUGGAAAGCUACCUGCAUAAACAGCUCCUCUUCCUGCGAAUGGGCGGUGGGAAGGGAGGAUGCUGCCCCUGGUGAUGAUAAUCAGCUGGAUCGCCUCUGUCCGUUUUUGAAACUCCAGUUGGUACCAAGGGUGCCUCAGCUGCUGCUGGCGGUGCCUCUACAUCUAUUGGGUUUUCUGGAAAUAGAAAUGAAAAUGAGAAUUUGGGCAUCAUUGAAUCUGUUGUUUGAGUCUCAAUCAAACCCAAGAAAGAAAAGCGAUGAAGCAGAGUGUUUUGAUCGAAUUUCCCAGCUGGUAUUUUAGAGAUAAUUCGUGCUGAUAACGUGUUAUAAAACAAGAGAGAAAAUGGAGAGAAUUGAGAUAGAGAGAAAACUGAUCUGGGAAAUUGGAGAGAGUCUUUUGCUCUCGCUUCUCUGUAUUAUUUCUCAUACGUUUCUGUCUUCAUAUAUUACAAUAAUUAGAAUGUGGGCUCCACACCCAAUAAUACACUCAAUAAUUUACAACACCUUUCCCUUUUUCUUUAUUUUUCAUAGUGGUAUCAUUGUUAGGAAAUUAUGCUUUUUAGUCCGUGUCACUGACGUAAUUAAUUAGAUCAAAUCCAUAUUUUCAGUUUCAGAAAAAGACUAUUUUUAAACCAAUACCAAUUGCACCCACCUCUACCUCUAAGAACACAAAGCCUCAUGCGUGUAUCGUUUUGUUUUAUGUAAGCGAUAUUGUGAGAGCGAAAUUUGUACACAAAAUUAUAAGAUAAUUAUUUUUAAAUAUCAUUUAAGUUACAAGUCUCUUAUCAUGCAUGCAUCGUUUUGUAGUUGUGUACCAUUUUUGGGGGUAAUUAAAGCUUAUUUCCAGUGUGCUAGGAUAUCAUAUUAUUAAACGACCAAACCCC
rnacentral:lncRNA from 1 species